rnacentral:misc_RNA from 1 species
GAUGAAGAACGUAGCGAAAUGCGAUAAGUAAUGUGAAUUGCAGAAUUCAGUGAAUCAUCGAAUCUUUGAACGCACCUUGCGCCCUUUGGCCAUUCCGAAGGGCAUGCCUGUUUGAGUAUCAUGAACACCUCAACUCUUCAUGGUUUUCCGUGAUGAGCUUGGACUUUGGGGGUCUUGCUGGCCUAUGGUCAGCUCCUCUAAAAUAAAUCAGCUUGCCAGUGUUUGGUGAGUAUCACAGGUGUGAUAACUAUCUACGCUUGUGGUUUUCCACCAGGUAACCUUCAGCAGUGGAGGUUCGCUGGAGCUCACAGAUGUGUCUCUCCUCAGUGAGGACAGCUCUUUGAAUGUUUGAUCUCAAAUCAGGUAGGACUACCCGCUGAACUUAAGCAUAUCAAUAAGCGGAGGA